GAAAUGCGAUAAGUAGUGUGAAUUGCAGAAUUCAGUGAAUCAUCGAAUCUUUGAACGCACAUUGCGCCCUUUGGUAUUCCUUAGGGCAUGCCUGUUCGAGCGUCAUCUAAACCUUCAAGCCCUGCUUGGUGUUGGGUGUUUGUCCCGUCUCCGCGCGUGGACUCGCCCCAAAGUGAUUGGCAGCCGGCGUACUGGUCCCGGAGCGCAGCACAUGUCGCGCAAACGAGUGCCUUGGUACGGCGGCGUCCAUAAGCCCCUCUCUCACGCUCUUGACCUCGGAUCAGGUAGGGAUACCCGCUGAACUUAAGC
rnacentral:misc_RNA from 1 species